GACGAACGCUGGCGGCGUGCUUAACACAUGCAAGUCGAGCGGUAAGGCCCUUUCGGGGGUACACGAGCGGCGAACGGGUGAGUAACACGUGGGUGACCUGCCCUUAGCUCUGGGAUAAGCCUGGGAAACUGGGUCUAAUACCGGAUAUGACUCCAUGACGCAUGUUGUGGGGUGGAAAGCCUUGUGCGGCUAGGGAUGGGCCCGCGGCCUAUCAGCUUGUUGGUGGGGUGAGGCCUACCAAGGCGACGACGGGUAGCCGGCCUGAGAGGGCGACCGGCCACACUGGGACUGAGACACGGCCCAGACUCCUACGGGAGGCAGCAGUGGGGAAUCUUGCGCAAUGGGCGAAAGCCUGACGCAGCGACGCCGCGUGAGGGAUGACGGCCU
rnacentral:rRNA from 1 species